GGGACACGUGGUAUCCUGUCUGAAUAUGGGGGGACCAUCCUCCAAGGCUAAAUACUCCUGACUGACCGAUAGUGAACCAGUACCGUGAGGGAAAGGCGAAAAGAACCCCGGCGAGGGGAGUGAAAAAGAACCUGAAACCGUGUACGUACAAGCAGUGGGAGCACGCUUAGGCGUGUGACUGCGUACCUUUUGUAUAAUGGGUCAGCGACUUAUAUUCUGUAGCAAGGUUAACCGAAUAGGGGAGCCGAAGGGAAACCGAGUCUUAACUGGGCGUUAAGUUGCAGGGUAUAGACCCGAAACCCGGUGAUCUAGCCAUGGGCAGGUUGAAGGUUGGGUAACACUAACUGGAGGACCGAACCGACUAAUGUUGAAAAAUUAGCGGAUGACUUGUGGCUGGGGGUGAAAGGCCAAUCAAACCGGGAGAUAGCUGGUUCUCCCCGAAAGCUAUUUAGGUAGCGCCUCGUGAAUUCAUCUCCGGGGGUAGAGCACUGUUUCGGCAAGGGGGUCAUCCCGACUUACCAACCCGAUGCAAACUGCGAAUACCGGAGAAUGUUAUCACGGGAGACACACGGCGGGUGCUAACGUCCGUCGUGAAGAGGGAAACAACCCAGACCGCCAGCUAAGGUCCCAAAGUCAUGGUUAAGUGGGAAACGAUGUGGGAAGGCCCAGACAGCCAGGAUGUUGGCUUAGAAGCAGCCAUCAUUUAAAGAAAGCGUAAUAGCUCACUGGUCGAGUCGGCCUGCGCGGAAGAUGUAACGGGGCUAAACCAUGCACCGAAGCUGCGGCAGCGACACUAUGUGUUGUUGGGUAGGGGAGCGUUCUGUAAGCCUGUGAAGGUGUGCUGUGAGGCAUGCUGGAGGUAUCAGAAGUGCGAAUGCUGACAUAAGUAACGAUAAAGCGGGUGAAAAGCCCGCUCGCCGGAAGACCAAGGGUUCCUGUCCAACGUUAAUCGGGGCAGGGUGAGUCGACCCCUAAGGCGAGGCCGAAAGG
rnacentral:rRNA from 1 species